rnacentral:rRNA from 1 species
GACGAACGCUGGCGGCGUGCUUAACACAUGCAAGUCGAACGAAGAGCGAUGGAAGCUUGCUUCUAUCAAUCUUAGUGGCGAACGGGUGAGUAACGCGUAAUCAACCUGCCCUUCAGAGGGGGACAACAGUUGGAAACGACUGCUAAUACCGCAUACGAUCUAAUCUCGGCAUCGAGGAUAGAUGAAAGGUGGCCUCUACAUGUAAGCUAUCACUGAAGGAGGGGAUUGCGUCUGAUUAGCUAGUUGGAGGGGUAACGGCCCACCAAGGCGAUGAUCAGUAGCCGGUCUGAGAGGAUGAACGGCCACAUUGGGACUGAGACACGGCCCAGACUCCUACGGGAGGCAGCAGUGGGGAAUCUUCCGCAAUGGACGAAAGUCUGACGGAGCAACGCCGCGUGAGUGAUGACGGCCUUCGGGUUGUAAAGCUCUGUUAAUCGGGGCGAAAGGCCUUCUUGCGAAUAGUGAGAAGGAUUGACGGUACCGGAAUAGAAAGCCACGGCUAACUACGUG